rnacentral:rRNA from 1 species
GCGGAGGAUCAUUAUCGUACAAUCGAGGUGCGAGGGCUGUCGCUGACCCUUCAAAAGGUCGUGCACGCCCGAGCACUCUCACACAAUCCAUCACACACCCCCUUUGUGCAUCACCGCGUGGGUCCCCCCUUUGCGGGGAGGGCCCGCGUUUUCACAUUAAACUUGAUACAGUGUAGAAUGUUUAUUUUUGCGAACACACACGCAAUCAAUACAACUUUCAACAACGGAUCUCUUGGCUCUCGCAUCGAUGAAGAACGCAGCGAAAUGCGAUACGUAAUGUGAAUUGCAGAAUUCAGUGAAUCAUCGAAUCUUUGAACGCACCUUGCGCCCCUUGGUAUUCCGAAGGGCACACCCGUUUGAGUGUCGUGAAAUCUUCAAAACCUCUUUUCUUUGAUCCAUUCUGAUCCGGAAAAGAGAUUUUGGACUUGGAGGUUCAAUGCUUGCCUUUGAUUUUGAAAGUGAGCUCCUCUCAAAUAAAUUAGUGGGGUCCACUUUGCCGGUCCUUGACGUGAUAAGAUGUUUCUACGUUUUGGAUUUGGCACUGUCCCUCGGAUCCCCGCUUCUAAUCGUCCCAUGGACAACGAUGGUGUCCCGGUCCCUGCCAACCUACAUUGGCGGGGGGCUUGGCCCACAAAAAAGAACCUUGACCUCAAAUCGGGUGAGACUACCCGCUGAACUUAAAGCAUAUCAAUAA